UGCUUUGGACCUUUGUCCCCUUACUUAUAGACAUUUUUUCUCAAUUGCCUGUUCCAUUCAGUACUCUUCUUUGUCCAUGUACGAUGUACGUUACCGAUUGUUGCCCAUGAGAUUCGGAUCCGAUUUGAGGGUUCCUUGAUAAUUAAGUUUCACUAAGUAGCGUUUUCAGUUUUUCUAUUCCGUCGUUAAAUCUAACCUGUGAAAUGAGCCCGGUGCGGGGGGUGGUACUCGGGUUCAAAGCCAAACAAGCCCGAAGGUUAAAGGGUAUUGUGGUCUUUUUGUAAAAAUGUACCGAAGUUAAGUCAUUACCAACCGGUGAAAGUUAGAACUGUUUUGAGUUUUUUGACUGCCUUUAUUGCUGAGACGAUGAAAGAGCUCGGGAUUAGAGUUGUUGUGGUUGUUGCCAAUGCAACGUUCGUUAUCUGUUUGUCAGUUAUAAGAUUAACAUUCAAAAGAGACAAAAAUCAAAAGCUUUUGUUCUGUAACCUUGAAAAAAAAAAAAAAUGGAGAGCGAAAGAAAUUGACCGAGUGACGCCGUUUGUCUUGUAAAUGGUUAUGAUUUGCUCUGGCAUUAUCAACAAUUCCCAUAUAAAAAAACCCAGCUUUGGCCUGUGUUUCAUACGCUGAAUGGAAUUGGUGAGAUAGAGAAAAUGAUGAUAAAUCACAAAUGUUGAUGUGAAAAAAAUAGGUCAGUAUUCCCUCCCCCCUCAAAUCCUCUCUUUUUCUCCAUUUGAUGGGAUGAUCAUGUUACAAUUCACAAAACCUUAAAAAUAGUAACUGAAUUUGAGAUGCCCCAUGCAAACAAACUUAUCAUCAUCCGACACUUACAAUUCACAAAACCUUAAAACCUUUACUGGGUCUGGGUAUCAUCCUUUUUUUUUUUUUUUUUUUUUGGGUGCACGCGAAUCCUGUUCCUGUAUCACAUUAUGAUUUUAUGACUUACACAUCACUAAGUUGUGUUUGGUUAAGUGGGCAUUGGAUUCCUGGCUGAAAUUUAUUACACGCUUUUAAUAUAUAUAACAACACAGCACUUGCCCCUUUGCAUUUUCAUUGUCCUGCUUUGGACCUUUGUCCCCUUACUUAUAGACAUUUUUUCUCAAUUGCCUGUUCCAUUCAGUACUCUUCUUUGUCCAUGUACGAUGUACGUUACCGAUUGUUGCCCAUGAGAUUCGGAUCCGAUUUGAGGGUUCCUUGAUAAUUAAGUUUCACUAAGUAGCGUUUUCAGUUUUUCUAUUCCGUCGUUAAAUCUAACCUGUGAAAUGAGCCCGGUGCGGGGGGUGGUACUCGGGUUCAAAGCCAAACAAGCCCGAAGGUUAAAGGGUAUUGUGGUCUUUUUGUAAAAAUGUACCGAAGUUAAGUCAUUACCAACCGGUGAAAGUUAGAACUGUUUUGAGUUUUUUGACUGCCUUUAUUGCUGAGACGAUGAAAGAGCUCGGGAUUAGAGUUGUUGUGGUUGUUGCCAAUGCAACGUUCGUUAUCUGUUUGUCAGUUAUAAGAUUAACAUUCAAAAGAGACAAAAAUCAAAAGCUUUUGUUCUGUAACCUUGAAAAAAAAAAAAAAUGGAGAGCGAAAGAAAUUGACCGAGUGACGCCGUUUGUCUUGUAAAUGGUUAUGAUUUGCUCUGGCAUUAUCAACAAUUCCCAUAUAAAAAAACCCAGCUUUGGCCUGUGUUUCAUACGCUGAAUGGAAUUGGUGAGAUAGAGAAAAUGAUGAUAAAUCACAAAUGUUGAUGUGAAAAAAAUAGGUCAGUAUUCCCUCCCCCCUCAAAUCCUCUCUUUUUCUCCAUUUGAUGGGAUGAUCAUGUUACAAUUCACAAAACCUUAAAAAUAGUAACUGAAUUUGAGAUGCCCCAUGCAAACAAACUUAUCAUCAUCCGACACUUACAAUUCACAAAACCUUAAAACCUUUACUGGGUCUGGGUAUCAUCCUUUUUUUUUUUUUUUUUU
rnacentral:lncRNA from 1 species